GACAGAGGAGCCAAGCGUUGUCCGGAUUGACUGGGCGUAAAGCGCACGCAGGCGGCCCGGCGCGUGGGGUGUGAAAGCUGGCGGCUUAACUGCCAGACGCCAUCCCAUACGGCUGGGCUCGAGCCCUGCAGAGGUCCAUGGAAUUGCCGGUGUAGUGGUGAAAUGCGUAGAGAUCGGCAGGAACACCCAGGGGGAAACCAGUGGACUGGGCAUGAGCUGACGCUCAGGUGCGAAAGCGUGGGGAGCGAACCGG
rnacentral:rRNA from 1 species